rnacentral:rRNA from 1 species
ACAGAGUUAGCCGGUGCUUCUUCUGAUGGUACCGUCAUUAUCUUCCCAUCUGAAAGUGCUUUACAACCCGCAGGCCUUCUUCACACACGCGGCAUUGCUGGAUCAGGCUUUCGCCCAUUGUCCAAUAUUCCCC